rnacentral:rRNA from 1 species
CCUACGGGAGGCAGCAGUGGGGAAUUUUCCGCAAUGGGCGAAAGCCUGACGGAGCAACGCCGCGUGAGGGAUGAANGCCUCUGGGCUGUAAACCUCUUUUCUCANGGAANAANAUCUGACGGUACUUGAGGAAUAAGCCACGGCUAAUUCCGUGCCAGCAGCCGCGGUAAUACGGGAGUGGCAAGCGUUAUCCGGAAUUAUUGGGCGUAAAGCGUCCGCAGGCGGCCCUUCAAGUCUGCUGUUAAAACGUGGAGCUUAACUCCUUCAUGGCAGUGGAAACUGUUGGGCUUGAGUGUGGUAGGGGCAGAGGGAAUUCCCGGUGUAGCGGUGAAAUGCGUAGAUAUCGGGAAGAACACCAGUGGCGAAGGCGCUCUGCUGGGCCAUAACUGACGCUCAUGGACGAAAGCCAGGGGAGCGAAAGGGAUUAGAUACCCCUGUAGUCCUGGCCGUAAACGAUGAACACUAGGUGUCGGGGGAAUCGACCCCCUCGGUGUCGUAGCCAACGCGUUAAGUGUUCCGCCUGGGGAGUACGCACGCAAGUGUGAAACUCAAAGGAAUUGACGG